rnacentral:rRNA from 1 species
UGAGUAACACGUAUCCAACCUGCCGUCUACUCUUGGCCAGCCUUCUGAAAGGAAGAUUAAUCCAGGAUGGCAUCAUGAGUUCACAUGUCCGCAUGAUUAAAGGUAUUUUCCGGUAGACGAUGGGGAUGCGUUCCAUUAGAUAGUAGGCAGGGUAACGGCCCACCUAGUCAACGAUGGAUAGGGGUUCUGAGAGGAAGGUCCCCCACAUUGGAACUGAGACACGGUCCAA